GUUGACCUUGAUCGAGGAGUGGGAAGCGAUGCCCUUUGACGGCGUCUUUGAUGGCAAAGGCGGGCCACUUGUUGGGUUCGAGGCGCAGAUCGUCU
rnacentral:tRNA from 1 species